CGGGGGGAGGAGAAGAAAAAAAGAGGUGUGGGGGGGUGGAGAGGAAAAGGCUUUGCCGCGCCUGCGCACUAGCCACAGGGGCGGGGAGGUCAACGCGAGGGCGAGAGUGCGGCUGUGCCAGAGAGGGCGUGUCUGCUUUCCAAACACCCCCUGUCCCCACGGUUCAGUCUGUCCCAAGGUUGGCCCGUCCGACGUGAGUGACGAUAUCUCUUAACCAAUCACCGCAGAACUAGGCUUGUUGCCAGGGUGAAGCGGCGCCCGCCUCCUCACCGGAUGUGGAUUUGCAGGCCACGCUGUCCAGUUGCAGUACCCCCGCUUGCGAGUCAGAGCCUCGGGGAGAGAAGAGCAGGACGGGGACGACGAGAGGAAAGCCGAAGGCCGGAACGAGCGUAGCAAUAAUCUUGCUGGACUUGGGGAGAAGGCUACGACAGGCUCGCACCGGUGCCUUCAUCUUGGACUUCACAUCCGGGUUCUCCAGCCGCGUGACCUGCGCGCCGCCGACGGUUCGAGAACCGGUGCCGCGAUCUCUUUAUCCGGGUCCCGGCGAUCCCGUCGUGCUUCGCGCACCACUGUAGCCCCCUCAUCCGGGUCCUCUCCCAGCGUGCCCC
rnacentral:lncRNA from 1 species